CUCUUGUGGCCCUCAAUAAGUUUGUAAUGGUGGGCGUCACUCUCUCCACUGUUUUUUGUGGUGGGGUCCACUCGAGCUCUGGAUCUGACCCAUUUUUUGGCUCAUGCCAUAAAAUGAUCUCUUCAAAUGUAUGGACGGUGUGGAUACAAAAAAUACAUCAUGGUGGGACCCACAUAACUUGGUGACGUCGCUUGUGCCCCGUCAAUGAGGGGCCGAUCAUACAGACGUGGUUGAUCGGAUUGCGUACUGAGUUACUCAGUACGCUCUUAUCGUACUGAGUAAACUCUGUUGGGCCCACCGUGAUUGCACGUGGUUUAUCCACGCCGUCCAUCCAUUUUUAUUGAUCAUUUUAGAUGUUUAGCCCAAAAUUGAAGCAUAUCCACGACUCAAGUGGACCAACUCAAGUGGAGCCACCGCGCAACUCUAUGUGGGUCUAGACCACAACUACUCCCCAUCAUUGAUAUAUAUAUAUUUCUCAAAUUUUACUUCUUCAGUUCUUCUUUUGCUUUUUCAAUGAUUGGUUGUGUUUUCAUACAUGACUAUAAUAUAUUUAUAAAUAUCAUGCAUUCAAUUUAAAUAUAGUUACAUUAGUUCAGUUAAACAUCGCAUAACUUAGGACCCUAUACAAUGGAAAUUUAUUAGGUGCAUCUUUUUUUUUUUUUUUUUUGAGAUGUUAUGAUUUAAAAGUGUGUAUUAAGGGCUUUUUUAACAAUCUCCAAAGUUUCAUUAAAAAAUUCAAUCAUAUUCCCAAUGUUUCCCCAUGUUUCCCCAAAAGUGUGAUAAAUUAUGCGAUACAAACGAUAUAUCCCGUGCGAUAACCGAUAUGUAUCUGUAUCCCAAGGGUGCAAUACAUAGUGCGAUAUCGAUAUUUCGAACAAUGGUUGCAACAUUCCUUAAAAAGUAACAUAUGAAGGCAAGAUAAGACAUAAGAAAGAAUCAUUUACAAACAAAACAAGAUGACAUUCGUUUUGAAUAUUUGAGACAUUUAUAAAAUAAAAUAAAAAAACAAUGCAGUCGUAUUUCAAACAAUGAUCGUUUAGUGCAAUGGAGUCAACAUUCCACAAAUAAUAAAAAUUUAUCUUAAUACAAUCAAUCCCGUGUUGUUUUUCUGAUGCUUAAUCGAAACUUGGUCUCUCUCUCUCUCUCUCUCUCUCUCUCUCUCUCUCUCUUUCGGCUUACACAUUUUGCUCUCAACACCAACUUCGUUUGGCCCUUCUUUAACACCUUUUAUUUAUGUUGACAUUACCACCUUCAUUUUCCUCAUCGCUAUAGACAUGUUCAUCCUUGCCACCUUUGUUUUCCUCGUUGUCUUCAUUUAUUAUUUCUUAAUCAGGGUCAAUAUGAAGAUUAUCGUUCACAAUAUGAUUAUGCAAGAUACAAUAUCCGAAUACUAUCUUCACUUGUGUAUGUAAAAGACAACCCCAAUAUAUCCAGGAGAGACUAAGUAUUACAUUAUUUUUUCAGAGAAAUUAUGUUACUACCCUCAUUUAUUUUUUCUUUACAAAUGAAGAAUUGAGAUUUGCGGAGCCCAUGUGGCAUGUGUCUGACAUUCGACUUAUUCAACGGAUGCACACAAACAUGAUUAUUAGAAAAACUAAAAAUAUGCUAGAUCCAAUUGUAAGGUGGGCCAAUCCAUAAAAAAUUAAUUACACUACUUAAAAUAUCCAAAUUCAAGCGUAGUUCUUCUGAUGAUUUGAUCAGCCUAAUCUUUUGUUCGUGUUAUCAUCAUCUUGAGGUGCAUAGGGUGGAUAGGUGGAUGUUAUACAUAUACCAUGUGGGCCCCACAAGUCUUGGCUUUCAUUACUUUUAAAAAAUAAUUAGAUGAGGGUUUUAAUAAUUUAAUCUUUCAAAAAGAACUCCACAUAAUUUCAAAUUGUUUAGGCACUAGUUAAAAUUGAAAUUUUAUUGUAAAAAUGCCUUAAAUAAAAGUGGUGGCUUUGCUUAGGAUAAGGAGCGUAAAUGUAAACAAAGAAGUUUGGAAUGAUUUAUCAAAGUGAAUGAAAAGAAAAUUGUAUACUUCACAUUCGUUUUUAUUUCUAAUAUAAUGCAUGUGAAGAUUAUCUAAUAUCUAAACUUUUUCCUUUCUCGGUUAAACUCUGAGGCUCAAAAAUAAGAAAACAAACCAUUCCCACUUUACAAGGAGGGGAUUAUGUGCGAAAAGGGCAAUGUUAUGAAAAAUAUAUUAAGCACUCCCGACGAAACUGCAAAAGAGGAGGCCCAACCACAUUGCCCAAUAUAUAACAUUCUAGUAACCUUCUUUCAGUUUAGAGGAUUUGGAUCAUAUAUAUUAUUGGAUGAGCUUUCAGAUGAGGCAUAUACACAUGCUCAACAAUUCAAUGGAGGUGCUCUUUAAAAUGGGGGAACAUCAGUUUCGAGGCCAAGCUAGAGCCCCAUGUGGGUGUGCUGCAAAGAUUGGACGGCUUCUGCAACACAAUAGACAGAUAUGCGAAAAAGGGAAUCAUAAUUGCUAGGAAAUGUAUGGGAGGUGUUGCGUAAUUUUUUAAUCUUUAAUCAUCACUAAGAAAAUGAUGUGGAGUGCCUUCAUCUACCUUGCAAGACGAUCAAAUUGAGCCAAGCUAUUUUCGUAAAAUUCAGCUUGAGAUUAAAUAUAUAUGUCUAGAGAAAAACAUUCCGUUAUAAAAAAAAUAAUUUACUUGUGUUUUUUUUCUUUUUAAAUUUAUUUUGUAUGAAGAUAUUUCUCUCUUUCGAGGAUUGUUUUAGAAGAUAACAAAAGACUUAUGUUUAAACAAUUUUAAUUGUCAUUACUUUGAUGAUAGUUUAUGGUUUACUCUUUAUAUUCAGUAGUUUCUCCUUAUAAAAGGGCAUUUGAAUCAUUGGGUCUACUUUUAUGGUCCUACCUAAUGCUUGGUUUAGCAUAAGGAUUGGAUUUGGGCUUUGUUGACAUGGGGCUUAACAUAAUGAUCUAUCUUAAUGAAAUCCUUAUGUGUCAUUUGGAGAUUUUAUAGAGAUUUACCGCUCCAAGCUCCGUUUUGUAUAAAUACCUUAUUAUAGGAUGUAAACACUUUACAGGUUAUCCAAACAUAGACAAGUAUUUACAGGUAAACACUUUACCACUUUAAACCAAACGUUACAAAUUGUAAACACUUUACAUUUAUAAAGAGUUUUAAGUGUAAAGUGUUUACAACUUAAAAUUUCACAAACAUCUAAAUGACCUCUUAAGUGAUGCUUGAAUUGAGUGUAGUAACUGUCGUUUUGAGAUUUUUGCCUCAAAAAUGAAAAUUUGGAAAUUGUUUUGGAAAUGUUGAAGAAAUGUCCUCAGGGGUCAUUUAGCAACAUGGAUUCUAAGGGAUAUGCGGGGAUUUCAAUUUGUUAGGAUAUUUGUUAGCAAGGAUUUUGAAGGAUUUGGAUAUUGAUUCCUCCAAAAUCCCUUAAAAGAGCCCUUUUGCAUUCCCAUCUCAAAGUUGAUUCGCAAAAUUCACUUGAUUCCAUAGGUUUCAAAAGCCAUUGGAUUCCAAAGGAUUUAAAAUUUACACUGCCAAACGACCUCUUAAUGAUGGUUUAAUGUGAAUUGGGUCUUUUGAACCAAAAAGGUGAGAGAUCUAGAAAUAAAAAAAUAAAAA